rnacentral:rRNA from 1 species
GUGCCAGCAGCCGCGGUAAUACAGAGACCCCGAGCGUUAUCCGGAAUUACUGGGCGUAAAGAGCGAGUAGCCGGUCGCAUUAGUCUGUCGUCAAACCAUGGGGCCUAACCCCAUGCCUGCGAUGGAAACGGUGCGGCUAGAGUGGAUGAGAGGAGAGCGGAACGUAUGGUGUAGGGGUGAAAUCCAUUGAUAUCAUACGGAACACCAAAAGCGAAGGCAGCUCUCUAGUGUCCUACUGACGGUGAAUCGCGAAAGCGUGGGGAUCAAAAAGGAUUAGAUACCCUUGUAGUCCACGCCCUCAACGAUACACACUAGCUAUUGGGAGCAUCGACCCUUCCAGUGGCGAAGCUAACGCGUUAAGUAUCCCGCCUGGGGAGUACGGCCGCAAGGUUAAAACUCAAAUGAAUUGGCGG